UGGUUAAUGCAAUUGUACUC
rnacentral:siRNA from 1 species